rnacentral:rRNA from 2 species
UCAGAGUUUGAUCCUGGCUCAGGAUGAACGCUGGCGGCGUGCCUAAUACAUGCAAGUCGAACGAGUUCUGAUUAUUGAAAGGUGCUUGCAUCUUGAUUUAAUUUUGAACGAGUGGCGGACGGGUGAGUAACACGUGGGUAACCUGCCCUUAAGUGGGGGAUAACAUUUGGAAACAGAUGCUAAUACCGCAUAAAUCCAAGAACCGCAUGGUUCUUGGCUGAAAGAUGGCGUAAGCUAUCGCUUUUGGAUGGACCCGCGGCGUAUUAGCUAGUUGGUGAGGUAACGGCUCACCAAGGCAAUGAUACGUAGCCGAACUGAGAGGUUGAUCGGCCACAUUGGGACUGAGACACGGCCCAAACUCCUACGGGAGGCAGCAGUAGGGAAUCUUCCACAAUGGACGCAAGUCUGAUGGAGCAACGCCGCGUGAGUGAAGAAGGCUUUCGGGUCGUAAAACUCUGUUGUUGGAGAAGAAUGGUCGGCAGAGUAACUGUUGUCGGCGUGACGGUAUCCAACCAGAAAGCCACGGCUAACUACGUGCCAGCAGCCGCGGUAAUACGUAGGUGGCAAGCGUUAUCCGGAUUUAUUGGGCGUAAAGCGAGCGCAGGCGGUUUUUUAAGUCUGAUGUGAAAGCCCUCGGCUUAACCGAGGAAGUGCAUCGGAAACUGGGAAACUUGAGUGCAGAAGAGGACAGUGGAACUCCAUGUGUAGCGGUGAAAUGCGUAGAUAUAUGGAAGAACACCAGUGGCGAAGGCGGCUGUCUGGUCUGUAACUGACGCUGAGGCUCGAAAGCAUGGGUAGCGAACAGGAUUAGAUACCCUGGUAGUCCAUGCCGUAAACGAUGAAUGCUAGGUGUUGGAGGGUUUCCGCCCUUCAGUGCCGCAGCUAACGCAUUAAGCAUUCCGCCUGGGGAGUACGACCGCAAGGUUGAAACUCAAAGGAAUUGACGGGGGCCCGCACAAGCGGUGGAGCAUGUGGUUUAAUUCGAAGCAACGCGAAGAACCUUACCAGGUCUUGACAUCUUUUGAUCACCUGAGAGAUCAGGUUUCCCCUUCGGGGGCAAAAUGACAGGUGGUGCAUGGUUGUCGUCAGCUCGUGUCGUGAGAUGUUGGGUUAAGUCCCGCAACGAGCGCAACCCUUAUGACUAGUUGCCAGCAUUUAGUUGGGCACUCUAGUAAGACUGCCGGUGACAAACCGGAGGAAGGUGGGGAUGACGUCAAAUCAUCAUGCCCCUUAUGACCUGGGCUACACACGUGCUACAAUGGAUGGUACAACGAGUUGCGAGACCGCGAGGUCAAGCUAAUCUCUUAAAGCCAUUCUCAGUUCGGACUGUAGGCUGCAACUCGCCUACACGAAGUCGGAAUCGCUAGUAAUCGCGGAUCAGCACGCCGCGGUGAAUACGUUCCCGGGCCUUGUACACACCGCCCGUCUCACCAUGAGAGUUUGUAACACCCGAAGCCGGUGGCGUAACCCUUUUAGGGAGCGAGCCGUCUAA